UUUCGCAAUGCCCGAAAGGGUGACGAAGCGACGCCGCGUGUGGGAAGAAGGCCUUCGGGUUGUAAACCACUGUCGGGAGUUAAGAAAUGCAAGGGUGUUAAUAGCAUCCUUGCUUGACUAAGGCUCCGGAGGAAGCCACGGCUAACUCUGUGCCAGCAGCCGCGGUAAUACAGAGGCGGCAAGCGUUGUUCGGAAUUAUUGGGCGUAAAGAGCACGUAGGCGGCCUUGUAAGUCAGUUGUGAAAGCCUUCUGCUUAACGGAAGAACAGCAGCUGAUACUGCAAGGCUAGAGUGCGGAAGGGGAGAGUGGAACUUCUGGUGGAGCGGUGAAAUGCGUAGAUAUCAGAAGGAACACCGGCGGCGAAGGCGACUCUCUGGUCCGUAACUGACGCUGAGUGUGCGAAAGCUAGGGGAGCAAACGGGAUUAGAUACCCCGGUAGUCCUAGCCGUAAACGAUGGGCACUAAGUAGAGGGGUUUUA
rnacentral:rRNA from 1 species